AUUGAACGCUGGCGGCAGGCCUAACACAUGCAAGUCGAGCGGAUGACGGGAGCUUGCUCCUUGAUUCAGCGGCGGACGGGUGAGUAAUGCCUAGGAAUCUGCCUGGUAGUGGGGGACAACGUUCCGAAAGGGGCGCUAAUACCGCAUACGUCUUACGGGAGAAAGUGGGGGAUCUUCGGACCUCACGCUAUCAGAUGAGCCUAGGUCGGAUUAGCUAGUUGGUGAGGUAAAGGCUCACCAAGGCGACGAUCCGUAACUGGUCUGAGAGGAUGAUCAGUCCCACUGGAACUGAGACACGGUCCAGACUCCUACGGGAGGCAGCAGUGGGGAAUAUUGGACAAUGGGCGAAAGCCUGAUCCAGCCAUGCCGCGUGUGUGAAGAAGGUCUUCGGAUUGUAAAGCACUUUAAGUUGGGAGGAAGGGCAGUAAGUUAAUACCUUGCUGUUUUGACGUUACCGACAGAAUAAGCACCGGCUAACUCUGUGCCAGCCGCCGCAGUAAAAC
rnacentral:rRNA from 1 species